rnacentral:rRNA from 1 species
UACGUAGGUGGCAAGCGUUAUCCGGAUUUAUUGGGCGUAAAGGGAACGCAGGCGGCCUUUUAAGUCUGAUGUGAAAGCCUUCGGCUUAACCGGAGUAGUGCAUUGGAAACUGGGAGACUUGAGUGCAGAAGAGGAGAGUGGAACUCCAUGUGUAGCGGUGAAAUGCGUAGAUAUAUGGAAGAACACCAGUGGCGAAAGCGGCUCUCUGGUCUGUAACUGACGCUGAGGUUCGAAAGCGUGGGUAGCAAACAGG